AAUGACCUUACUGUCCUUUCUGGUGCUCACACCAUAGGCCAAACUGAGUGUCAAUUUUUCAGAAAUCGCAUAUACAAUGAAACCAACAUUGACACAAACUUUGCUACCUUAAGAAAAUCAAAUUGUCCUUCCUCUGGUGGUGACACCAAUUUGGCACCACUAGAUUCCGUCACUCCAACUACUUUUGACAACAACUACUAUAAUGACCUUAUUGCUAAUAAAGGACUUCUUCACUCUGAUCAAGCUCUUUUCAAUGGUGUUGGUUCUCAAGUUUCUUUGGUUAGGACUUAUAGCAGAAAUACUGUUGCUUUUAAAAGAGACUUUGCUGCUGCUAUGAUAAAGUUGAGUAGAAUCAGUCCUCUCACUGGGACUAAUGGGGAGAUUAGAAAGAAUUGCAGGCUUGUCAAUUAAUUGAUCAUGAAUUAGAGGGUAUAUUAGCAAUUGAAUAAAUGUUUUCUUUGGAGAAUUUUGAAAGAUUGAUUAAUGUUAUAGGGUCGAACUAGUCAUAAAGGUUGACUAGAUCUUGGACACAAUGACAAUUAUAGUAAUUGUGGGUGCUUCGUUGAUAAUUUGAAUGUUUCUAGUUUCACAAAUACAAGAAAGUUUUUAUAUCUAUGUUGUUUCUCUUACUAAGACUAAUGAAUGGAUCAAUCUAAUUUUUCUUCUAGGUUUUCUUGUACCAUUUUUUCACACUUACCUUAACCGCGUUGUGUUUGUGUAAUGAAUUUCUCGAUUUUUAUUUAUUUAAGACUUUCUUGGUUUUUAUGAGGAAAGGGUUUGUGACAUAAAUUGUGAUUGUCGCGGUAUGAAUUAAUCACAAUUUAUUGUUUAUUUUAAAAAUGAUGAAUAAUGGUAUUGGUAUUGGUAUCGGCACCUGAUGUUGAUGUAGUUUUAGCAACAAAAGAAAGUAUUUUUGUGUAUAUCGUAUUACAAUGGAUGAAAUGAUAUCAAAGUCGUUCAAUAGAAGUUUUUGGUUUGUUUAUAUAACUAAAUGUACAUCACAUUUUACAGUAAGUAAAUGGAAAAAAGAUUAACAUAUGAAAUUGUUGGGCUUAGAGUUCAUUAUCCUAUCCUUAUGUAAUCUCAUGAUCAAUCAUACAUUUCUAGUCAACAAUUAAUAUCAUCACCUAUCAUUCUAAGUAUAUUUUUUUAUGUCUAAACAACGGUGUGAAAUCAAUUGUAUUAUUUAAAAAACAAUCUCUCAUCCAGUUAAAGAAUACGCAAUACAACAGAAAACACAUAAUCACGGUAGUGAAAGUCCUAUAAUCACGGUUGAGCAACCGUGAUGAGGUAGCGUGUGGUUGUAAGUAGGCUAUUUACAACCACAGUCUAUUGGCCUUUGUUAUAUAUUGGAAACGUGCUACAAAUAACCACAGUUGUAAUAAACAACUGUGGUUGUAAGUCAACCCAAAAUUUCAUGUUUGCCACAUGUUUUACCCAACUACAAUGAUAACUUUCAUAACAAUAUAUAAUAUUAAAUAUUGUUAACACAACAACAACAAGAACAACAACAAGAACAACAACCACAAACAACAACAACAGUAACAACAACAAUAACAACGACAACACCAACAAGAAAACCAACAACAACACUUAAUGGAAUGAAUAAGUCGAAAGAAUGACGUACAUUGAAAGUUCUUCAAUGGUGAUGAUUAUUAGAACAUAUAUAAAGAAAAAUGGAAGAAAGUGUAUGAAUAAUAUGGAAGAAAGCGUAUGAAUAAGCUCAUAUUUUAUAUAUUAUUUCAAACCAUAUUCUAUGUGGUCUUCAGUAUUAGGGCAUGAAGAUGAGAGGGAGAGUGACUGAAAGAGAAGACGAAAGCGAUAAAUUUAUAUAAUAUAUUAAAUCGGAAUCACAUAUUAUUUCAUUGAAACUUCAAUUAUUUUUGUGUCAAAUAAUCUAAAUUCAUAUGUGGCACAUUCUAAAACUUUUCUUCACUUUUCAAAAAGAAAACCCACAUACUUAUUCUCUAUGAAAGGUUCUGGGUAUGAAUCCUAACAAAGACAAAAAUGUAUUUUUUUCCAUAAAUUUUUGUAUCAACUAUUUUUUUCUCACCAUAAUUUAUUUACUGUAGUUCUAUAUAAAAAAAUUAAAAUUUUAAUUAACAAGUUCAAAACUUAACAACUAAAAUAUAAACAUAUUAUGCAUCAGAUGAUACAUAUGUAAACAACAUAAAAUAAAUAUCUACUUAAGAUACACAUAUCUAUAUCUAUUAUCUAUUAUAAUAUAUUAAAUCUGAACCGUGAUUUAUUUUAUUGAAAAAUCAUCAUCUAACUUGCCACAUCAAUUAAAAUCUGAUGUGACACUCUUCAAAAUAUAACCAUCUAAAACUUCUAAUAUUCAUUUCACUAUAACGUGUAACCCUCCAUUAAAAAAACUUUAAAAAAACUACAUUUAUAUAUUCCACUAAAUUGUAAAUAACUUUGUUUAAUGAAAAAUAAUAAUUCAUAUUUAACUGUUUUAAAACUAUAAUACAAUUUUUUUUUAUGAUAAUGCUUAAAAAAAAGGGCAUAUGUUGUUUUUAAGUUUAAUUAUAACUUUCAAAUAGACAUACAAAUGCUUCAAAUUCUUUUCUAAAAUAUAAUUUUUAAUUAUAUCAAUAAUUACAUAUUUACAAAAUUAAAUUCAAAAUAAAAAGUUAGACAAUUAUUUUUUCUGCUUCAAUAAAAAACUACAUUUAUAUAUUCCACUAAAAAUUUUAAAUAAUACUGCACUUUCAAACUUGAAUAUAGUAAAACGUUACACAAUUUUAAAUAGUCACUCUUCAUUUUUUGGCUUACUUUCUCAUUAACUUAUAAAACUAUGUUACAUAAUACUAAUAUUUUAAAAUAUCAUAUAAAUAUUACUCACAUAAAUUUGAUGAAACAAAUAUGAUAAGUAAUGAAUGAUAUUUUUUUAAAAAUAUUUAAAAUUUUCAGACUAAAAAUGCCAUGUAUAAAUUUUAUUUUCCAAUUAUAUAUUUUCUUUAAAAUAAAAUAUAACUCCUUAUUUAUACAUAACUCAUAUUAUUAUUUUUCUUUCAAAAACUGUAAAUCAAUUUAUCAUACUCAUUUUUGAUACAUCAAACUCUUUCAAUUGAGAUAUUGAAAGGAACAAAUUUAUUUUCCUAUAAAAUCCAUUUAAAUAUUGUCAUUAAAGACAAUCUUAGAAUCAACACAUAGUUUUUUAUUAAUAAAAAUAUAUUUAAACUAUAAUAUACAUAAACUUAUUAUUUAAAUAUAUUAUUUUAUAUUUAAUUUAAGUUUUUAUGACUUUCUCAUGCUAAAUCUAACUCAUAUAUUAGUAUAUAAGAUAUCAGAAAUGAAAAUAAAAACUUUACUAGGAAUCCCGCGCAACGCGCGUGUCAACAUCUAGUAAUAUAUUAAAUCUGAAUCGUGAUUUAUUUUUUUGACAAAUCAUCAUCUAACUUGUCACAUCAAUUAAAAUCUGACGUAGCACUCUUCAAAAUAUAACCAUUUAAAACUUCUAAUAUUCAUUUCACUAUAAUGUGUAACUCUCCAUUAAAAAAACUACAUAUAUAUUUUCCAUUAAAUUGUAAAUAACUUUUUUUAAUAAAAAAAUAAAAAAUCAUAUUUAACCGUUUGAAAAUUAUAGUAUAAAAAAUCUUAUGACAAUGCUUAAAAUAAAAUGGUCAUAUGAUGUUUUUAAGAUUAGUUAUAACUUUCAAAUAGACAUACAAAUGAUUCAAAUUCUUUUCUAAAAUAUAAUUUUUAAUUAUAUCAACAAUUAUAUAUUACAAAAUAAAUUUCAAAUAAAAAAUUAGACAAUCAUUUUUUCAGCUACAAUAUAUAAUCCUUGACAUAUAAUUUUUUUAAUGAAAGAAUAAUAAUUCAUAUUUAACCAUUUUAAAAUUAUACUACAAAAAAUAUUAUAACAAUGCUUAAAUAAAAUGAAUAUACAAUAUUUUCAAAUUUAAUUGUAAUUUUCAAAUAGAUAUACAAAUGAUUCAAAUUCUUUCUAAAAUAUAAUUUUUAAUUAUAUCUACAGUUACAUGUUACAAAUUUAAAUUAAUAUAAAAUAUUAGACAAUUAUUCUUUCAGCUACAAUAUAUAAUCUUUUUCAUAUAAUUUUUUUACAAUAUAAUAAUAAAUUAUAUUUAUUUGAUAUUAUAAAAAUUUAAUUGAAUUAAAUAAUUUAUAUAUAUGUUAAAAGUAAAUGACAUAGUCAAAUACACAUAAAAAAACAAUAUCAUUGUACUUGGUUUAAAACACAUACUAGGAUUUUUCUAUAACUACUCAAACAUAUUAGAAUAUCGAGAGUUUCAUUUUGAAUUUUAAUAUUAACCUUGAUGAUUAUUUUAAUGAUGUUUGAAUUUUAAAAUUAUAUUGUCUUCAAUCCACAAAAUGAUGAAGAAGUAUUCUUAGAGAAUAUAAAAGAAUAACAAAAUUUUAUGCACAUAUUUUACAUUUUCAAUUUUAAUUUUAAUAUUUUAUCUUCUAUUUACAUGCUUCUAACAUAUUUAUUAUUCACUAAAAUUCUAUUAUUUUUUGUAUUCUCUUCAUCCUAUUGUCUGGAUAACAAAACAUUUAUAUUAGAAAAACAAAUAAUACUACUUAAAUAAUGCAUUAUUAUAGUUCAUUAUUAUCAAAAGAAAUUUAUAAUACAUUAUUAUGAUAUAAAUGUAUUAACUAUAUCUGUAAAAAAAAUUAAAAUGAUUAAACCUAUAUAUAAAAAUUAAACUAAAUUUUUUUUAAGGUUGUUUUAUAUAAAAAAAAAAUUAAAGUUUUUCUUUAAUAAUUUCAAAACAUAACAACUAGAAUAUAAACCAUCUAAAAUUUCUAAUAUUCAUUUCACUAUAAUGUGUAACACUGCUUUCAUAAAAUCUAAAAAAACUACAUUUAUAUAUUCCACUAAAUUGUAAAUAACUUUGCUUAAUGAAAAAUUAAUAAUUCAUAUUUGACCUUGUUUUAAAAUUAUAAUUCAAUUUUUUUUAUGAUAAUGCUUAAAAUAAAAUGACCAUAUAUUAUAACUUUCAAAUAGACAUACAAAUGCUUCAAAUUCUUUUCUAAAAUAUAAUUUUUAAUCAUAUCAACAACCACAUAUUUACCAAAUUAAAUUCAAAUCUGAGCUUAAAUCAAAUCUGAGCUUAAAUUCAAAUUAAAUUAAAUUAUAAAAAAUAUUAUGAUAAUGCUUAAAUUAAAUCUGAGCCAUGACUUAUUUUAUUGACAAAUAAUCAUCUAACUUGCCACAUCAAUUAAAAUCUGAUGUGGCACUCUUUAAAAUAUAACCAUCUAAAUUUUUUAAUAUUCAUUUCACUGUUUCACUCUAAUGUGUAACCCACCAUUCAUAAAAUCUAAAAAAAACUACAUUCAUCUAUUCCACUUAAAUUGUAAAUAACUUUGUCUACUGAAAAAAUAAUAAUUCAUAUUUAACCAUUUUAAAACUAUAAUACAAAUUUUUAAGCUUAAACUAAAAUGGACAUAAUAUAUUAAAUCUAAGCUGCGAUUUAUUUUAUUGAAAAAUCAUGAUUUAACUGGCCAGACCAAUUAAAAAUUGAUAUGGCACUCUUCAAAAUAUAACCAUCUAAAACUUCUAAUAUUCAUUUCACUAUAAUGUGCAAUCCUCCAUUCAUAAAAUCUUUAAAAAACUACAUUUAUAUAUUCCCCUAAAUUUUAAAUAACUUUGUUUAAUGAAAAAUAAUAAUUCAUAUUUAUCCAUUUUAAAACUAUAAUACAAUUUUUUUUUAUGAUAAUGCUUAAAAUAAAAUGGCCAUAUAUUGUUUUUAAGUUUAGUUAUAACUUUCAAAUAGACAUACGAAUGCUUCAAAUUCUUUUAUUAAAUAUAAUUUUUAAUUAUAUAAACAAUUACAUUUUACAAAAUUAAAUUCAAAAUAAAAAAUUAGACAAUCACUUUUUCAACUACAAUAUAAAAUCCUUGACAUAUAAAUUUUCUAUUAUAUAUUAAAAAACUACAUUUAUAUAUUCCACUAAAAUUGUAAAUAUUUUUUUAAUGAAAGAAUAAUAAUUAUUAUUUAACCAUUUUAAAAUUAUAGGACAAAAAAUAUUAUGACAAUGCUUAAAAUAAAAUGAAUAUACAAUAUUUUCACUUUUAAUUAUAAUUUUCAAAUAGAUAUACAAAUGAUUCAAAUUCUUUAUAAAAUAUAACUUUUAAUUAUAUCUAAAAUUACAUGUUAAAAAUUUAAAUUCAAAAUAAAAAAUUGUGCAAUUAUUUUUUCAGCUAGAGUAUAUAAUCCUUUACAUAUAAAUUUUCUACAAUAUAUUAAUAAAUUAAACUUAUUUAAUAUUAUAAAAAAUUUAAUCGAUGUAAAUAAUUUGUAUAUAUGUUAAAAGUAAAUGACAUAGUCAAAUACAUACAAAAACAAUAUCAUUGUAAUUGGUUUAAAACUCAUACUCAAAUUUUUCUAUAACUAUUUAAAUAUAUUAGAAUAUUGAGAGUUUCAUUUUAAAUUUUAAUAUUAACCAUGAUGAUUAUUUUAAUGAUGUUUGAAUUUUAAAAUUUAAAUUGUCUUCUAUCCACAAAAUGAUGACGAAAUAUUCUCAGGGAGUAUAAAAGAAUAUAUUAUCUAUCUAUUAUAAUAUAUUAAAUUUGAGUCACAAUUUAUUUUAUUAACAAAUCAUCAUCUAAUUUGCCAUAUCAACUAAGAUCUGACGUGGCACUCUUCAAAAUAUAACUAUCUAAUUUUUUUUAAUAUUCAUUCCACUAAAUUAUAAAUAACUUUGUAUAAUGAAAAAAUAAUAAUUCAUAUUUAACCAUUUGAAAACUAUAGUAUAAAGAAUCCUAUGACAAUGCUUAAAAUAAAAUGGUCUUAAAAUAAAAUGGUCAUAUGAUGUUUUUAAGUUUAUCUAUAACUUUCAAAUAGACAUACAAAAGCUUCAAAAAAAUUUCAAAAAUAUAAUUUUUAAUUAUAUCAACAAUUACGUAUUACAAAAUUAAUUUCAAAAUAAAAAAUUAGACAAUCACUUUUUCAGCUACAAUAUAUAAUCCUUGACAUAUAAAUUUUCUACUAUAUAUUAAAAAACUACAUUUAUAUAUUCCACUAAAAUUGUAAAUAUUUUUUUUAAUGAAAGAAUAAUUAUUAUUAUUUAACCGUUAUAAAAUUAUAGUACAAAAAAUAUUAUGACAAUGCUUAAAAUAAAAUGACUAUACAAUAUUUUCAAGUUUAAUAAUAAUUUUCAAAUAGAUCUACAAAUGAUUCAAAUUUUUAAUUAUAUCUACAAAUUUAAAUUCAAACUAAAAAAUUGGGCAAUUAUUUUUCCAGCUACAAUAUAUAAUCCUUUACAUAUGACUUUUCUACAAUAUAUUAAUAAAUUAUAUUUAUUUAAAAUUAUAAAAAAUUUAAUUGAAUUAAAUAAUUUGUAUAUAUGUUAAAAGUAAAUGAGAUAGUCAAAUACAUACAAAAACAAUAUCAUUGUAAUUGGUUUAAAACGCAUACUCAAUUUUUUUUAUAACUACUUAAACAUAUUAGAAUAUUGAGAGUUUCAUUUUAAAUUUUAAUAUUAACCAUGAUAAUUAUUUUAAUGAUGUUUGAAUUUUAAAAUUUAAAUUGUCUUCCAUCCAAUAAAUGAUGAAGAAAUAUUCUCAGAGAGUAUAAAAGAAUAUAUUAUCUAUCUAUUAUAAUAUAUUAAAUUUGAGCCGCAAUUUAUUUUAUUCACAAAUCAUAUCUAGCUUGCCACAUCAACUAAAAUGCCAUGUGGCACUCUUCAAAAUAUAACCUUCUAAAAUUUCUAAUAUUCAUUCCACUAAAUUAUAAAUAACUUUGUUUAAUAAAAAAAUAAUAAUUCAUAUUUAACCAUUUGAAAACUAUAGUAUAAAGAAUCUUAUGACAAUGCUUAAAAUAAAAUGGUGAUAUGAUGUUUUUACGUUUAUAUGUAACUUUCAAAUAGACAUACAAAUGCUUCAAAAAAAAUCUUAAAUAUAAUUUUUAAUUAUAGCAACAAUUAUAUAUUACAAAAUUAAUUUAAAAAAAAUUAGACAAUCAUUUUUUCAGCUACAAUAUAUAGUCCUUGACAUUGAAAUUUUCUACUAUAUUUUUAAAAAAUACAUUUAUAUAUUCCACUAAAAUUGGAAAUAAUUUUUUUUAAUCAAAGAAUAAUAAUUCAUAUUUAACCGUUUUAAACUUAUAGUACAAAAAUAUUAUGACAAUGCUUAAAUAAAAUGACUAUACAAGAUUUUACAGUUUAAAAUUGAUAUACAAAUGAUCCAAAUUCUUUCUUAAAUAUAAUUUUUAAUUAUAUCUACAAUUACAUGUCACAAAUUUAAAUUCAAAAUAAAAAUUUAGACAAUUAUUUAUUUUAGAUACAAUAUAUAAUCUUUUUCAUAUAACAUUUCUACAAAAUAUUAAUAAAUUAUAUUUAUUUAAUAUUAUAAAAAAAUUUAAUUGAAUUAACUAAUUUGUAUAUAUGUUAAAAGUAAAUGACUUACUCAAACACACACAAAAACAAUAUCAUUGCACUUGAUUUAAAAUUCAUACUCAAUUUUCCUAUAACUACUCAAACAUAUUAGAAUAUCGAGAGUUUCAUUUUAAAUUUUCAUAUUAACCUUGAUGAUUAUUUUAAUGAUGUUUGGAUUUUAAAAUUAUGUUGUCUUCAAUCCCCAAAAUAAUGAAGAAAUAUUCUUAGAGUAUAAUUAACAAAAUUUUAUGCACUUAUUUUACAUUUUCAAUUUUAAUUUUAAUAUUUUAUCUUAUAUUUAUAUGAUUCUAACAUAUUUAUUAUUCACUAAGAAAUUUAUUAUUUUUAUAUUCUCUUCAUUCUAUUGUCUUGAUAACAAAACAUUUAUACUAGAAAAAUAUUGUGCAUCACAUAAUACAUAUGUAAACAACUUAAAAUGAAUAUCCAAAUAAGAUACAUGUAUAAAAAAGAAAUGAGAAAGAAAAUUAAAAAUAAACCACAACUUAUAUCUUUUAUAAUUACUUAAAUUUGUAAAAAAAUUAUAUUUUCCUUUUUAUUUGUCAUUAAUUCAUAUUGUUGUUUAAUAUAUAUAUAUAUAUAUAUAUAAUAUAUAUAUAUAUAUAUAUAUAUAUUAUAUAUAUAUAUAUAUAUUAUUAUAUAUAAUAUAUAUAUAUAUAUAAAUAUAUCAUAUAUAUAUAUAUAUACUGCAUCACAUGAUAUAUAUAUAUAUAUGUAAACAACUUAAAAUAAAUAUCUAAAUAAGAUACAUGUAUAAAAAAGAAAUGAGAAUGACAAUAAAAAUAAACCACCAAUUAUAUCUUUUAUAAUUAAUUAAAUUUGUAAAAUUAAAUUUUCUAUGUCACUCUCAACUGACUGACAUAUAUUUUUCUUUUUACUUUUCGUUAAUUCAUAUUAUUGCUCAAAAAAAAAUAUUGAAUAUAUUUUUCAAAAAAAAUUUACAAUACACUUUUAUAAUAUAAAAGUAUUGACUAUAUCGGUAAAAAAAAAUUGACUACAUCGGUAAAAAAACUUAAAUAAUAAAAACUCAAUAUAAAAAGAAAAACUAAUCAACACCCGCGCAUCGUGCGGGUCACAAUCUAGUUUAAAUUUAAAUUGAAAAAUAAAAGAAUUUUAUAGCCAGUUUAUAACAUAAAUCAUGUUAAUAAAUUCAUAUCGAUUCUUAAUCGAUUUAUAAGUAAAAACAUCUUAUAAACCUAUUUCAUUUUAAUUGACGGUGUGUUAUAGGGUUUUUAAGUAGUUAGGGUGGCUGGUUGCUCUACCCAAGGAUCCUAGGAUUCUCUUCUAAUUGUUUUUCUCUUUAGGAGAUAAAACUAAGAUUACAAAGGAUAUGUUUUUAUGAUUUGAGAUGUAGUUGUUUGCACUAUUUAUAAUGUACCACUACUACGUAAAAGGCAUUUCACAAUGGUUAAAAAGGGCAUACCACCACGCGUGAUCAAUCAUUGUGAAGUAGAGGGUGGUUGUAUAUAUAUGAUGUUUUUCAUCAUAUCCGUGCGUCCGUGAUUAUACGCUAUGUAGCACACUACCUAUCACAAUAGUUACUUUAAACAACUUUUAUAAUAUUCUUAACACAUAAUAAUUAACAACUGUUUGUAUAAACAACUGUUGUGAUAUAUAUACUGAGUUUUUUUAUAAAUCAUGUAGAAUGCUUAUUUUGCCAAUGCUAACUAAACAUAUCUUAGAAGAACAAGUUCAUGUUCAAUAUUAGAAAAAAGUUCUUCAACUAAGUUAUCCGUAUUUUUCUAUUUAAUAUUUAGAAAUUUGUUUAAUGCUCAUAAUUUUUCCACCUCCCAUUCCUUCACCUCUAAUUCAUUUUGCAAAACAUUAUUUACUUUGAAAUCAAAAUUAAAGGUGGAGAAAGGGGCGGUGGAAGAACUACAAACAUUAAAUAAAUUUCUAACGGAUAAAGAAAGAAAUGCAGAUAACGGGCUGAAGAAUUCAUGUCAAAAAUUGAACGUGUACUUGUUUUCUACUAUAACUUUAUCUAUCAUAUUUUAAUUUUUUUAAUGAAAUCUGAAAAGUUAUAUAUUCAGUAAGGGGUUAGAAAAACACUCAAACCAUAUAAUAUAUAAUAGACUUAUCUUUUAAAUAAAAAUUAACAACAAUAUUCAUCAACAAGAUACAACAAACAUAUCAAAUCAUAAAAUAUUUCAGAAACAUAUUUGUCUCAUAAUGAAAUCCACAAUGAAAGAAGGAUGAAACUUAAGAGAGAGAUGCAAACUUAUGUUAAUUUUGAAGGGAUGAUAUUCUGGGUCUUUUACACAAGUUUGUAGCACUCACUUUAGCUUCAUCCUUGUUAUUGAAACAAGCAUCCUAACCUACAAGUCAAAACAAGGAGAAAGUUCAAACAUUAUAAAACAAGCUAUUCAAACAUAAACAAUAAUACAUCAACAUGAGUAGAUUUUGAAACAAAACAACAUCAACAACAACAUCAUUAUCAACCACAAUAAUAUCAAUAAGAACAAGAACAACAAAAACAACGACAAGAAGAACAACAAACAACAACAAUAGUAACAACGACAACACCAACAAAAAACAACAACAAUAACAAACAACAACAACAACAACAAUAACAACAGUAACAACGACAACACCAACAAGAAAAACAACAACAACAACACCAAAUAGAAUGAAUAAGUCUAAAGAAUGAUGUACCUUGAAAUUUCUUCAAUGGUGAUGAAUAUUAGACCUAUACAAAGAAAAAUGGAAGAAAUUGUAUGAAUAACAUGGAAUAACGCAUAUGAAGAAGAAGCAGAAGAAGAAAGAUAAACAAUAAUUAUUGUUGAAAUUGAGUACCUUUUAUUAUUAUGAAGAAGAAACAUUUAUGUGGAAGAAGAAGAAAUGUGUGCGAGAGAUGUUAGGGUUUUAUUUAGAGAGAGACAAUUGUUCUCUGCUGAAAUGAGAUAACUUUGCUUAUAAAUAAGUAACACCUUUUACCACGAUUGAUACUAAAAAUUGUGAUGAAAUGUAAGUAGUUGUCACAAUGGUGUCUCGUAUUAACCGUGGUGAUAUGUAUUUUAAUUUUAAAAUAUAUACAAAAGUACUAGUACAAGCUAUUUUACUAACGAAAAAAUAGAAAUUUUUUGGUGCUGGAAUUCGAAGUAUGUAACAUUUUAUCUAUCACCACAAUUUGUAUAACUAACCCUGAUGAAAAGUCUUGUAAUAAAAAAAAUUUAGGAGCGUAAAUAUUAUUUAUUGUUAUGGUUGACUAAACGACCAUAGUAAUAUAGUGUUACCAAAGGUAUAUUUUAUAAUAGUUAUGAUAACAUUAAGUUUUGAUAGUAUGUGUCAAUGCUAACCCCCAACAAGAACACAUAUAACACCAUGAUCAAGAUGAAUACACCAGUAUUUGGACAAUUACAUAUAACCAGAACAAAAGAGAAUUUAGCUAAUCUCACUCAAAGAAGCUUUACAAUGAUGAUCAAGAAGAAAGAUAUUGAAUAAUAUCAUUGGCUAUUUCUAUGACCAGACAGAGCUUCCACCUUAGAACUUCAAUACCUCUCUUGGGAUUUUUCAUCUCAAUUCUAUAUAAAUUCUCUUUGUUCUAUUUUCACUUUUGUAAUUGAAUGCCCCAAUUAGAAUGGAUAUGACCACUAUUUAUAGAAGCUUGAGGAGACAUUUUAUUCCAACGAGGUUAUUAGCUCGCCAAGCGAGCCCGCUUUUGUUCAUUAGUAAGUCAUAUCCAACUUAUCCAUGUGGACUUUGGUAACCUUAUUUCUCCAAGCGAGCCUUUCUUUUUGCCCAACGAGAAAACAUUUUCUUCAUCUUGAAGUAACUUAGCCAAGUGGUCUUUAAAUCAUCUUUUUGGCCCAUCGAGUUUGUCCUUUCGCCCAGCGAGAAAACCUAGAUUCUCCAUGAAGUAACUUGGCUUGGAAGUCAUCUUAACUGCCUACAUUUUCUCGGCGGGCCUAUGUAUUUUCCUGGCGAGAAUGUCUCAGAAAGGAUCUGAAGUUUGUGUCGUGUCUUUGUUGGAAGAGCCUCUUCUUCGCGCAAUGAUACCUCAUAUACUUAGCUUCUAUAUUUUAUUACUUCCUUGAAUAUUUUCACUUGUGCUAAUGAAUAGAGCAUAGUUAUAAUAUCCAUACAUAUGUUGUAUCUCCUUUAUAUGACACACUAGGGGAUUUUCAUAUGAUUUCUUAUGAUAUAAGUUAAUAAGUGUUUAUGUGAAACAAUUUUUUUUGCACUUAUAGACUCUCCCAAACUUAAAUAUUUUUUCCUCAACAAAAUUCAUACAAAUGUCAAAUGAUUCUAAUAAUUCUAUCAUGCAUAAUUCAUUUAUAUUUUAUGAUUAAUUAGAACAUUUAGGAACAAACUAAUGUAUUUUGGCAUGAUUCAUUUAAUUGAAAAUUCAAAAUCAUUAUCACAACCAUCCAUAAAUCAUAUCAUAAAUAUGAAAAUCUUGUUUAAUCAAACUAUGAUUUCAAUCCAAGUUUAUAUAAACAGUCAAUUUUCAUCAUAAUCAUAAUAUCACUAAAUAUCACUCAAUCGGGUGGUGUUUCCUUUAAUUUUAAAAAAUGCAUACACUACAAAUAAAUUUUUUAUUUCAUCUAAGCAAUAUCAUAAAACAUGUAAGCAAACAUGAAUCACUAAGGUCUUUAUCAGGAUUGUAACGUGGUUUGGCUACAAGGAAUGUUGGUUUUUAUUUGGAUUCAAAGGUGCCUUUUAAAGAUAUAAGAGCAUAAAUUGUUAUAUUGUUUUAAAAAAUUCUCUUUAUUUUUUCACUUUUAACUUCCUUUGGUGAUUUUUGUUUUGUUUUGUUUUCUUUUAUAUUUGUUUGUUUCUUUUAUUUUUUAUUUUUCAUUGCUUUGUCAAAAUACAUUCAUUAUUUCUUUUUCUUUUGAUCAACAAUGCCAACAUACUUUGUUUCUUUCUCAUCAAGCCUUCCCCCAACUUUUCAUAUUUAAAAUUAUUGAUAUCCUAUCAUGAAGAUAAUAGAAUGAAAAUUGUUUUUCUUUUCAAUGACUAAGGGUUAUAAUAUGUCAAAAUCAAAAACAAAAUUCACAAUUUGGCUCAAAGGUUUCUUUUCAAAGGAUCACUUUCUUGCUAGGUAAGCUUUAUUUGGUCAAGUAGCUUUCACUCAAUAAAGAAAAAUUGUCUUACUCAUGUUGAUGACUUCAUACAAUCAAGUGAUAGCAAGAACUAUGAAAAAUUAACAGGGUUAUAUGCAUGUCUACUUUCAAUAUAUAUGUAAAAUAUGAGGUUGCACACAAUUCACAAGUCAGUUUUGUAACGAUUCUGAUAUUAAUCUACAUGUUUUCACCACACAUGUGAAAUCUAAUGUUAAUCAAGAAAUAAUCUUAUUUUCAUGCUAUCAUUAAUAGAUAAUCAUAAAAAUUAAUCUUGAAUAAAACAUUUAAAAAUAACCUUUAAUCAUGUAGUUUGUUCUUAUUUUGUCAUGUAUAUAUACUUCUGAAUUCCUACGCAUCUCACUAUUCAACCAUUAAAUCAUCUUGAGAUUUGUUUCAAUCCCAAUGUGUUUUAUAUAAAAAAAAUCAAACAAAAUCACAAAAUUUCAAUUUAUCCAAAAAUAAGUCGUGCAUUAGAAUUAGAACUUGAACAUCUUUAAAUCAAUUAAAUAAAGAAAUAGAGAAGUAAAUGUCACAUGUUUUGGCGAGCUUUUAUCCUUAUCUUGUUUUCACUUUCUCCUUCUUGGAAUAGCAUCCCCCUGGAAAAAACUUAUAUGUCUUCAGGCUAUCAUCAAGUGAGUUUGGGGAUUGAAUCAAUAAUAUUCAUACACAAUUUGAAGAUUUCACAAUGUGACUGUAAUUGUUUGUUGGUCAAACUUGUUUAAACUCAGGAACCGAAUUUGAGUGAAGGCUUCACUAAGCUAGUAGAUGAGUUCCCCCAAACAUUUUCAUGCAGAAUUUAAAAACUUUGUGUUUAGUUGUUUUACUUCGAAAAAAUACAAUUUGCAUAAAAGGAAUUCUACAACUAAAAAAUUGAAUUGCCUCCCAAUGAGCGUUUGUUUAACAUCAUUAGCUUGACGCUUGAUUUUUCCUUGAGAGACAUUUAAUGUGUUUAUUGUGGUGUUUUUAUCCAUUUUAACACACAAGUACAGAUUCAGUCUUUGGCCUUUUAUAAUCUAGCUUUCUUUUGAGACCAGGUCUUCUAAUUCCACUGCUCUAUAUGGCUUUACCUUCUUGGUUUUUAAUGGACUAAACCACAUUGAUUUUAAUUUUCCUGAAAAUAGGUUCAGCUUGGAAUUAAAUAAUAGUACCAUUUGUCCUGGUCUAAAAUUUUGUUUGUAUAUUCGCUAGCCAUGAUACUUCUUGACAUUCUCUUUAUACACUCGUGAAGAUUCAUAUGCUUGAUAUCUAAUUUCUUCUAACUCAUGUAGUUGUACUUCCUCUUUUUCCAUGCUUGUGAUUGGUCAAAAUUCAAGAAUUUGAUUGCUCAAUAGGUUUUAUGUUCCAAUUCCAUUAGAAGAUGACACAAUUUACCAUAGAUAAAAAUAAUGAUCAAGUUGAAGAAAUAAGUAAAUACAAUUAAGAUCCACCCAAGAAAUGGAGAACAACAAGGUAUCAUCCAAUCCAAAAUCUAAUAGGAAACAUUUCUUAAGGGGUAACUACUAAACCCUCCCUUACGCAAAUAUGUAAUUUUAGGGCUUUUGAUUCCUGAAUUGAGCAAAAAAAUAUUAACAAAGCUCUCAUUAGUGAAAAUUAAUCUUUUGUUAUGCGGGAAGAUUUAAAUCAUUUUGAGAGAAAUAAUAUUUGGGAACUUGUUUCCAUACCUAAAUAUAACCUAGUGAUUGGGAUCAAAUGGGUCUUUCGUAACAAACAUGAUGAAAAUGACUUUGUAUUAAAAAGUAAAGCAAUGCUUAUUGCAAAAAUUUACAAUCAACAAGUAGUCAUAGAUUUCUAUGAAACAUAUGAUUAUGUAUCUAGAUUAAAAUCCAUAAGGAUGCUUUUAGAUUUUUUUAUGAAUUUUAAAUUUCAAACACUUCCAAAUAGAUAUAAAUAGCGCGUUCUUGAACAAUAAAAUUUAAGAGGGGGCGUAUGUUAAUUAACCACAUGGAUUUCAAAGCUUAUCUUCUCAUAAUCAUGUACUCAAUCUGAAAAAGACUCUCUACAGUUUAAAUCUGCUUGAAAAGUGUAAUAUCCCAUAUUCCCUUAAAUGCUCAAUUAGUUGUCAGUUGAGACCAAUUGAGUUCCUAUGUACUCUAUCUAUUAUCAAUUGUAGCAAUUUGAGCUCAUAUGUGCUUUAAAUGUUGUCAAUCGGGACCAAUAGAGUAACCAGCAAAUUCUGAAGAGAUUAAGUAUUAAUAAAAGAGACAGACCAAUAUUAAUAAGUACAAAAGAAGACAUUUUUGGUAACAUUAAUAAUUGGUCAAUUGAUACUGGAAGAUAAAAUAUCAAUUGAGAUAUUUUAUAUCACUACCUAAUAUAUAUAUAUAUAUAUAUAUAUAUAUAUAUAUAUAAUAUAUAUAUAUAUAUAUAUAUAUAAUAUAUAUAUAUAUAUAAUAUAUAUAUAAUAUAUAUAUAUAUAUAUAUAUAUUAUAUUAUAUAUAUAUAUAUAUAUAUAUAUAUAUAUAUAUAUUAUGUUAUGUUAUACACAUGUGUGGUGGAUAAGAAGAAAGAAAAAGAAAGGAUAAGAAUGAGAAGUAAGAGUUAUCAGAAAGAAAGAAGAGAAAGAAAGAGGAAAAGAGGAAGAGGAAGAAGAGAAGAAAAGGAAGAAAAAGAAGAAGGAAAGCUUGGAACCAACACCAUCAUCUUCAUCCUUAUCUCAUCUUCAACAACUUCUCCUCUUCAAUUUCUUGAGGUGGAUUCUAGUUAGAAAUCCUAGAUUUUUAGAGGAUUAGGGUUGUAGAAACAUAGAUAAAUCAUGAAUAAUUCAUGCUAUGUGAUGAAUAUUCCUCUUGAUGUUGUUGUGUUUAUGAACAUGUGUUUGUUAUGUUCUUUGUGAUUAUUGUUAUAACAUGAUUUGUUAUGGUUGUGGUAAAAUGAUUGGUUAUAAUUAUGACCUUGAAAUCCUUGUGAUUGUGAGCUUGGAAUCUUUGAUUUAUAUGUGUAUAAGAACAUGUAGUAUGAUGGGUUUUGUUGGAAGAAGAAGUGGUAUUUUGUUAGAAAUGGUAUAAUAGAGGAAAAUGGUGUUUGUGAAAUGGAAUGUGAAAAUGUGAGUGGACCAAUCGAUUGGUCUCUAUCAUCAAUCGAUUGACAACCCUUUGUUUUGCAGAAAACAUGUAAUUUUAGCAGGACCAAUCGAUUGACACUGCAUUACAAUCAAUUUCACAAACUUGCUGUAUAUGAACAGUGAGAAAUUUUCAGUGAGCCAAUCGAUUGACACUCAGGAUCAAUCGAUUGAUCCUCAACAAACUUUGAAAAACAGAAAUGUGAGAGGAACCAAUCGAUUGGGCUUCCUAAACCAAUCGAUUGACUUAUGUUAAAAACUUCAAAAUCCAUUUCGUAAGUGUUUCUAAAUGCAUUCUUCCAACCAUUAAUCAAUUGUGAUGAUAUGCUUAUGUUGAAUACAUGUUAAUGGUGAAAAUUACAUGAUGAAUCUAGUGAGUUAACGUAGGAUUGAAAUUAGGUCAUGAGUUAGGUUUACAACCUAGAUAAUAUGAGAAAACAAUAUUCAUUCGUACGACGUUUAUGUGGAGGUCAUGGACGAAUUGUUGCCUUGAUUAAGAAUGAGACGCAUUGAAUGGAACAUUCCAUGUUAUUAAUUGUGUAUUAUGGUGAAGGAAGUCACCUAUGUUUGACGGAUUUUGUUAUGGUUUGUGGAACCAAUGUUUUUGUGGAACCGAUCAUAUAUUCAGAAUGUGUAUUUUCUGUGACGUGCACAUCUCUAUUUGGUAUGCUUAGAUGAGUAAGCAUUGGGAUGUGAGACUGAUGGUUCGAGCCUCAAUUGGGUUUGAGCCCCAACCACGGCGAACGUGGGGGAAAGGUGGACACCUAAAUGGGUUGGAUUCCCAUACGGUGAAAGAGACCCUAAGUGGGUUAAAUUCCCUUACUGGUGACGGUCACUUGAACUGGGGAUUAAGCCUUAUAGAGGACCCGAUGUCCACCGUGAAAGUCGAAUCAUACGAGCAUGCAUGAACCGGGCCUUGCUUAGACGUAAGUCCGUUCAAGAAUUGAUGUUUCGUAAUCUGAAUAAUGAUCGUGGUUGAGUUGUGAGAACUCAGGUGCAUGUUGCCACAUUGCGAGUUAGUUUCCCCAUCGCUCAAGUCUUCAUUCCCUUGUUGACUUGAGUUGAGUAUGAGUUGAAUAUUGAUUAGAAAAACCUGUAGAGCCGAGUGGACCCAUAAGAUAGGGAACCCGCUCAGAUUAUUAUCUCACCCCAUUAUUGUUGUUAUUUUUCAAGUAUUCCUUGCAGGUUGAAUCUAAGAGAAGUUGUCUAUGGAUGUUUCAAGGGACACAAUUAUUCUGAUCUUCCUCUGUGGAGUCGUGUGCAAUGAAGACAUUGCACAUAGUUCUUAGAUUUUUUAUUGUUUAGGAGCUAUUGUACAUCAUGUUCCAUUGAUGUCUUUAGUUUGGACAUGUGUAACUAUUGAUGCCAUUAGGCCCUUAUGUUGGAUCAGUAGCAAUUAAUAACACUUGUAUGAUAUUAUUCUAGAUAUAUAUUAUACGGGUUGUUACAGUUGGUAUUAGAGCCUGGUCGAUUCUCGACCUAGCCUUGAAACAUCAUAAGUAAAUCUAUUCCUGCCUCAUAUGUGUGUUUAGUCGACAUGAUUCUUAAUAUCAUUGUAUGUAUUAUUGGGCCUGAUCAACUUGAUGCUAUGUGCAUGGUAGGUAGGAUCAUGUUUGAGCGACCACGAGGACUCCGAAGUGUGGGUGGAACUUGGGCUUUGAAGGUAAGCUCAAGCCAAGAGUUAGAAAGUAAGGAGAACCGGAUAACCCAGUUGAAGUUUCAGAGGAGUCGUAAUUCGGGUAUUAUGGAAUUGAAGAGUAGUGUAUCGUUCAAGCAAUUCUGCAGCGUUAACGGGGUUAAGAAGUUGAGGAAUUUUAUCGGAUGAGUUUGUCAGAAUUUUGAGGAAUAAGUGAAUUUUCUAGUGGAAUAAGAUAUACCCACUGAUAUGGAAUAAAUAUUGUAAGUAAUUCCGUAUGGUCAAGGAGAAAGGAUGGUUAUGUCACAUAUUUCAUACGUCUGGAAGUGAGGUAGUGUAUAAGUGUUUCAGUUUCUAAGGCCACUAAAAUAUUUUGGAAGAACGAGAGUACUUCAUGGAGUAUAUAUUUGGGAUGGUACCUUGCAAGUGGCUGAGGACUUGAGAGUUAAGGACAUUAGGUUUUGUUGGGAGCCUAAGGUAUUGGUGAAGUCUAAGGAGAGACUCGAGGACAUGGCUGCCUAUUCCAAGUGAAACAUGUAUGGACCAAAUGAAGGUUAGAAGAUAAAUCAAGUAUAUUCAGUCUUAGAAGGGACAUCAGAUUCAUGAUAGCUCGUCAAAGGUUUAGUGUUGGUGAGAAACUGUUAUGGAAUGUUAAGUUACCUAAGGAUCAAUUAUAAGGGUUUGUGACGAAGAGAGAAUAAGCAUUAUAUAACAACGGAAGCUCUAGUAGGAUGGGUUGAAGGAGUUUUGUGUUGAGGAAAAUAAUAAGUAAUUGGAUUUCAGGAGUUAUAGUAGAAUGGUUAUGUAAUUGGAAUUGAGAGAAUUACUAUAGGAAGAUAAGCGAACACAGAGUGUGGAAGUAGUGUGGAUGUUGCAUUACAACUGUUGUAAUGGGGUACAUUUUAGAUAAAGGUACAAUGGGAUCAUAAAAAUUCAUCAAGGCUAAGUUAUGGGCGUGUAGUUGAUGAUCAUUCACAUCAAAGGUUUUAAGAGUAUUUAGUGGAGUGGAGGAAGUUAUACCUAGGUAUUAAGAGAAGUAUGUGUUGGCGACAUUAUGGUCACAAGUGUGUGUAAUGGAUUCCUUAUCUUGAGAUGGAUGUAAAGUAAUACACACUUUGUUGAGUAAUGAGUCUUAUGUUCUGAGAAAUUGAGAGUAUGUUAGACAAUGAAAGACAAACUAAUCUUGAAUACGGAGCUAAGUGUGGAACGUGAAACAAACUAUGUCGUGGGGACUUAUAAGGAGGCGAUAAGGUUUGUCAAUAGCAGGUCAUCUAGAUAAGUGGCUUCUGUGUGAUAAAAUGUUCAAUAGAUAUUGGUAUGGAAGAUAAUCCAAGUCAAUAAAUAUGUGGUAAUGUCAAGGUACACCUUGAGUGCAUAUUAUUUUGGUUGUCAAGAGCGGGAGAACUGUCUGUAUAUGUGAAUGGUCAGAGCAUUCCAAAUCUAUCUUUUGUUGGAUAAGAAAAGUUAUUGUCUUGAUCCUCACCAAGAAAUCAAUUGAGGGAAUGAGGUGGUAUGCUUAACAUGGGUUGUUCAUGUUUUCCCCUUGAUGAUGUGUUGACUAUUGUGUCAUUGUGGGAUUAAUAUUAAGUUAUGAAUUAUGUUGUGACACUACACCUAUGUAUGCAAACCUCACGGUGGAGAACUUGUGGAGAUGAUCCAUGAAGUUGAGAUUGUGCUCUUGCUGCAUUGUUCUUGUUGUUCUAAUGUAUUUCCAUGAUUGAAUUCCAUGAGGAUAAUAAAGAAGUGGUGAACCAGGGUUGUAAUUCUCGUGCAAUGUGGAAUUCGUGGAGAUGUGUGUGGGUAUUUGAGGAAGUGAUUGCAUAUGGUUUAUAAUAGAGUCUUAUUGGUUAGUAGUUGUUGUUGACAGUAUCCUUAUCGGUUAUCAUACUCCAUAAGAGAUUGAGGAAUAUCCAAGGAUUUGUCAUACUAGUCUUAUGAGAGAGGAAACUUCUAACAAAGUUUAAUAAGUCUGAGUCGUCAUGACCACAUUGGAGUUCUUAGUCAGGUGAUCUCAAGAGAUCAGUUCAGUAUCUUAUAAGUGAAAGUAACGUGUCAGUGGUUAGACAUGUUACUAAUAUGUACGACUUCAGAAGAAGACCUGCCAGGGAAGUGGUAUCGAAUAUACACAAUGCUACUAUACUAUGUCGGCAUGAUGUGUAAAUUAUUCUCCCAGGAGAAAGGAUGGAAAUAAGAUAUCCAUAAGUGUAAGUGUGUAACUUGGAUUGUAUAUUCGUAAGAACACGAGCUAAGGUUCCCAUGAGAUAAAGCAAGACGAUAAGAAGGAAUAAUUAUUGUCAGGUAGUGGGAUGUCUCCCUAAGAUGUGUGAUUGAGUUGUGGGACUCUAUGAGUAUUAUGGAAGCUCACAAUUAUAGACUAGUUUUCUUAAGAUUCCUUAGAAACGGUGUCUCGUUAAUGACUUGAAGUUCCUUGAUGGUGUUAUUUUGUUAUUGGUCGAGAUCAUGUGUCAGCAGAAAUCAUGAAUGAAUCAGAACCAUAUAAGAGGAUCCGAUAUGGAAUAUAGUAACCAGGACCGUAUAUUGUCAAACUAAUUUGGAUAAGUUCAUUUGAGCACAUGAUAAACCUGAGCGUCAUACACCUUCAUGGUUGUAGUCGCGUGGCUCAUAUAUAUAUAUACAUCUUAUGGAGGAUGUUGGUCACAUUUGGAACCUUUGUGUGUCAGUGAGAAAUUUGUUCUACUAAUGGAAGUCAGAGAGGUCCUAGUACUAUUUUGGGUGGUGGGCACUCUGGAGGAUAGGCGUGAUCUUCUAUGUAGACUGUUAGCUAAAUAGUGGUGCUUAGGAAUCCCAGGUGUUCCACUGUUGGAAUCGGAGUAUCAAAAUCGAAGGUGAUGGAGGAAAGGGCUCAAUCAAGAUUAUGGGAAUCAGGGAGAUAGUUACUCAUAAGAGAGGGAGUAAGACAAACUCAUGCUAAUGGUGUCAUCUUAUUGGAGUAGUACGAGAGAAGUGAAACAGUAGGAGUAGAGGUUUGCAACAUAUAAUAUCAGAUCAAGUGAAGUUUGUGAGAUUAUCGAUAGAUGGAUUACAAGUUUGUCACAUUUGCUGAAGGAAUGAUAAGAGAAAAGUAGUCAAUAUUGUGUGCGGUCAAGGAAUCAACAAUUUUUCUUAUGGAGAAUUAAUGAGUAUUGAUUAUCCAAGUCAAUAUAAGAUGUCGUAAUUAUGUUUUAUGUAACUUAGUGCAAGGAACGAAAGUCGUGAUUUCCAGGAGGAAAGUGACCAACUGAUAUAGAGCGGUAUAUCAGAUGAAUUAGGUGGGGGCGAGUUUAAAUGUUAAUCCAAUAUUGGAAUAAGGAUAUGGUUAAGAUCGUGAAGUAGUGAGAGUUCACACGAGAAAUAAGCUGCCAAGGUAGAUGAGUCAAAAAGAAUGAAUAUGUCUGAGGUUUGAAUCGAAGAGAAGUCAAGUAUUGACCUAGGGCGGCGAUACAAGAAGAGUUUAUUUGUGGACUGGGAAAAUUCGGGGGCGAAUUUCAAUUUAAGGGGGGGAGAAUGUAAUAUCCCAUAUUCCCUUAAAUGCUAAAUUAGUUGUCAGUUGAGAUCAAUUGAGUUCCUAUGUACUCUAUGUAUUAUCAAUUGUAACAAUUUGAGCUCAUAUGUGCUCUAAAUAUUGUCAAUUGGGACCAAUAGAGUAACCAGCGAACUCUGAAGAGAUUAAUUAUUAAUAAAAGAGACAUACCAAUAUUAAUAAAUACAAGAGAAGACAUAUUUGGUAACAUUAAUAAUUGGUCAAUUGAUAUUGGAAGAUAAAAUAUCAAUUGAGAUAUUUUAUAUCACUACCUAAUAUAAUAUAUAUAUUAUAUAUAUAUAUUUAUAUUAUAUAUUAUAUAUAUAUAUAUAUAUAUAUUAUAUUAUAUAUUAUAUAUAUAUAUAUAUAUAUAUAUAUAUAUAUAUAUUUAUAUAUAUUAUAUAUAUGUUAUACACAUGUGUGGUGGAUAAGAAGAAAGAAAAAGAAAGGAUAAUAAUGAGAAGUAAGAGUUAUCAGAAAGAAAGAGGAAGAAGAAGAAGAAGAAGGAAAGCUUAGAACCAACACCGUCAUUUUCAUCCUCAUCUCAUCUUCAACAACUUCUCCUCUUCAAUUUCUUGAGGGGGGUUCUAGUUAGAAACCCUAGAUUUCUAGAGGAUUAGGGUUGUAAAAACAUAGAUAAAUCAUGAAUAAUCGAUGUUAUGUGAUGAAUAUUCCUCUUAGUGUUGUUGUGUUUAUCAACAUGUGGUUGUUAUGUUCUUUGUGAUUGUUGUGAUAACAUGAUUUGUUAUGGUUGUGGUAAAAUGAUUGGUUGUGAUUGUGACCUUGAAAUCCUUGUGAUUGUGAGCUUGGAAUUAGAUUUAUAUGUGUAUAAGAACAUGUAGUAUGAUGGGUUUUGUUGGAAGAAGAAGUGAUAUUUUGUUAGAAAUGGUAUAACAGAGGAAAAUGGUGUCUGUGAAGUGGAAUGUGAAAAUGUGAGUGGACCAAUCGAUUGGUCUCUGUCAUCAAUCGAUUGACAACCCUUUAUUUUGCAGAAAAAAUGUAAUUUUAGAAGGACCAAUCGAUUGACAUUGCAUUACAAUCGAUUGCACAAACUUGCUGUAUAUGAACAAUGAGAAAUUUUCAGUGAGCCAAUCGAUUGACACUCAGGAUCAAUCGAUUGAUCCUGGGCAAACUUUGAAAAACAGAAAUGUGAGAGGAACCAAUCGAUUGUGCUUCCCCAACCAAUCGAUUGACUUAUGUUAAAAACUUCAAAAUCCAUUUCUUAAGUGUUUCUAAAUGCAUUCUUCCAACCAUUAAUCAAUUGUGAUGAUAUGCUUAUGUUGAAUACAUGAUAAUGGUGAAAAUUACACGAUGAAUCUAGUGACUUAACUUAGGAUUGAAUUUAGGUCAUGAGUUAGGUUUACAACCUAUAUAAUAUGAGGAAACAAUAUUCAUUCGUACGACGCUUAUGUGGAGGUCGUGGAUGAAUUGUUGCCUUGAUUGAAAAUCAGACGCAUUGUAUGGAACAUGCCAUGUUAUUAAUUGUGUAUUGUGGUGAAGGAAGUCACCUAUGAUUGACGGAUUUUGUUAUGGUUUGUGGAACCAAUGUUUUGUGGAAUUAAUCAUAUAUUCAGAAUGUGUAUUUUCUUUGACGAUGCACAUCUCUAUUUGGUAUGCUUAGAUGAGUAAGCAUUGGGAUGUGAGACCGAUGAUUCGAGCCUCAAUUGGGUUUGAGCCCCAACCACGGCGAACGUGGGGGAAAGGUGGACACCUAAAUGGGUUGGAUUCCCAUACGGUGAAAGAGACCCUAAGUGGGUUAAAUUCCCUUACUGGUGACGGUCACUUGAACUGGGGAUUAAGCCUCAUAGAGGACCCGAUAUCCACUGCGAAAGUCGAAUCAUACGAGCAUGCAUGAACAGGGUCUGGCUUAGACGUAAGUACGUUCGGGAAUUGAUGUUUUGUGAUCUAAAUAAUGAUCGUGGUUGAGUUGUGAGAACUCAGGUGCAUGUUGCCAUACAUUGCGAGUUAGUUUCCCAUCGCUCAAGUCUUCGUUCCCUUGUUGACUUGAGUUGAGUAUGAGUUGAAUAUUGAUUAGAAAACUCUGUAGAGCCGAGUGAACCCAUAAGAUAGGGAACCCACUGAGAUUAUUAUCUCACCCCAUUAUUGUUGUUAUUUUUCAGGUAUUCCUUGCAGAUUGAAUCUAAGAGAAGUUGUCUAUGGAUGUUUCAAGGGACGCCGUUAUUCUGAUCUUCCACUGUGAAGUUGUGUGCAAUGAAGAUAUUGCACAUAGUUCUUAGAUUUUGUAUUGUUUAGGCACUAUUGUAUAACAUGUUUCAUUGAUGUCUUUAGUUUGGACAUGUGUAAAUAUUGAUGUCAUUAGGCCCUUAUGUUGGAUCAGUACCAAUUAAUAAAACUUGUAUGAUAUUAUUCUAGAUAUAUAUUAUACGGGUUGUUACAAAAAAAAUUCGAAGAGGGAACUUGUUACCCUUUUUCGAUCUUACAAAAAUAAUUGGGUAGGAUCUUCGGAUCUUAGCUACGAUUUUAUAUUUUACGAUCUUCAUAUUCUCUUCCGAUCUCAUGUAAGAACUCGAUUUUGACAACCUUGCAAACUAUGUAUUACGCACAAUGGUUUGGAGAUUAGGACAAGCUUUUCCAUAGAAGUUAGGAGAAAGUUGUGCAUUGGUAGAAGAAGCUAAUUAGGAUAGAGUUUUUUUUAUCUGCCUAACAGUGUUGUAAUGGCCUGUUGCGUGGAAUAGUUUCAGUAUUCUUAUUUUGAAUAUACAUUUUGAUUAUAAAAAAGAAGAAGAGAAAUAGUAGACUGUAACAAAUAAUUUAGUUUAGUAAAUGUAGCCAUAGAAUCUUGAAGCUAUGGAAUGAAGAAGCAACGUAUAAAAGGAAUAGUAGGCCAGUGUGUGACAGUGCAUGCAUGUGCGAUCGAAGAUAAUAAUUUGUCCAUAUUUUCAAACUUUCUGCUCAAACGCGCUUUAGUUUAUACUUAUUUAAAUUUUGGUAGUAAUGAUUUGUGAGAUAAAAAGGAAUAUGAUAGAAAUAGUAUUGAAAAUUAUUGGCUAAGUUUUCUCAUUUUUAUAGCAUAUGUUUCAGGAAGUUUGAAUGAAGAAAUUGACAUAAUCUUAAGAUGAGGUAAAAUUGUUUUGCUUGUAAGGAAUAUGAUAGAAAUAGUAUUGAAAAUUAUUGGCUAAGUUUUCUCAUUUUUAUAGCAUAUGUUUCAGGAAGUUUGAAUGAAGAAAUUGACAUAAUCUUAAGAUGAGGUAAAAUUGUUUUGCUUGUGUGUUGUGUUGCAUAGCAACUUCAUUUAUAAUAUAUUUAAAUUAUGUUGUUUUGUUGAUAUGGUCACUAUUAUGUAAUAGUUUAUACAUUAGAAUUAGAAUGACGUAAACCUUGAAAUUUACACAGGCCUAUAGAAAAAUUAUAUUAUUUUUAAUGUUAUAAAUAAAUGUUCAAGUUUGUAUACUUUUAUUGCAUAUUUUUAAAUGAGAAAAUAGGUUAAAUAACCCUAUUUUGAAUGAAAAGUGGGGUAAACAUUUUUAAAUUAAAAAAUAGGUUAAAAUAGUCUUACCGGCGGCAGUCAUCUUUUUACCAUAAUCUUUUUAUCCAAAGUAUUAAAGGGAUGCAUGGUUUUAGACUCCAGUUAUUUAUUCUAGAGUUUCUCAACACACUACAACAAAUAACGUUUUUUUAUGAUGAAGUUAACACUUUGCAAAAAACCUAGGCGAUUUUUCAAGUUGAUAUUUAUCAAAACUCCUCCCACAGAUAAUCAUCAAACAUCAUUUUUGCAACAAGUUUGUUCUUCAUUGAAACGACUUAUAUAUCACUUUGUUUUUCACUGAUCAUUUUGUAUAGGGUUUUACAUUAGUUUGUCUUUUGAUCAUUUUGUUUCUACGAUUUUCAAUUUAUUUUUAUUGAAACGUUACUUAGUAUAGUUUCUCUUGAUCAUUUUGAUGUUUAUUUAGAUAGUCAUUUCGUCAACAAAUAUCAUUUUUCAUUAGGUUUGUUCUUCAAUGAAACGAGUUAUAUAUCACUGAAACGAGUUAUAUUUCACCGAAAUGAUUUUAUAUCAUUUUGUUUUUUACUAUUUGUCUCUUGAUCAUUUUUUUUCUACGUAUUUGUCUCUUGAUAGUCAUGGCCGAUUCGACAAGCAGGAGGAACGUGAGAGGAUGACUGAGAGAACGUGUCUGAGAAGUGUAUCCACGAUGUACUUGAGGUAUAAGUCGUAUGUUGUUGUUAUUAUUGUUUCCUUAUUUUAAUUUUGGAUUGUAUUUAUGUUAUUUUUAUGAUGUAAAAAUUGAAUUCGUUGGGUCUAUUAAGCUACAGAAAUUCAAAUCAGUUGGAAAUUCGAGAGAAUGAAGUUUAGAAAGCUACGGGUGGUACAAGAGCGAAAGAAAGUUUUUUUGCCAACCAGGGCAGUAUUGAACCCACACCGUAAAAAGUAGAUAACAUUGAGAGACUAGGAAUGAUCAUUGACAUUAUUCCAGACUCAUGCAUGAGUAUUACAUUAAGUCAUGUUCCAACUCUAUUUUUUUUGUACUUUCUAGGAUUUCUUCCAUGAAUUUUUGUCGGGAAAUGUGUACCUAGACAAUUUUGUAUUACAAAUUUGGUCCUCGUAAGUAUAGUUUUUAUGGUGAUCUCUAUUUAUAUUCAUAUAUUCUUCUACUUUAACAUUAAGAUUUGCACUUGCAGGUACAUCCAUGAGUUAUGUGUUGAAAGAAAACUUCAAAACAAGUAUUGCAUCUUAGAUUCUGCGCACAUUGGUCUUACUUGCGGUUUGACAGGAUACAAUAUCCUUCUUUACUUAAAAGAUAAGUUGGAAGAGAAUAUCAAAGAUUGUUAUUUGGUCCCGUUUUAUCGCAAGAAAGUAUAUAUUGGUUUGUACUUUCAUUUACAAAUAAAUUUUAUGCAUAUGAAUUAUUUUGAAUGUUUAUGUAGUUCGCAUUGGCAACUAAUUGUUACAUGUCCCAAUAUAUAUAAUAUGGUGUGUGGUGGUGUGUGUGUGUGUGUGUGUGUGUGUGUGUGUGUGUGCGUGUGUGUGUGUGUUUUGCUCGUAGCACUUUGAACUGUCCGAAGAAGUGGUUAACGCUUUGAAUCGCUUUGAAUGGGCAAGUGGUAUUAUUUUUAACUUUAGAAUUGAAUAUUUUUUAUUCAUGUUUAAUUUUAACCGACAUGUGUAGAGCGAUGGAGGAGCAUAAUACACUCAAACAUAAUGUACUUGGUAAAAAAGUCAAUCUAUGUUUUCCCAAAAGUAAGUAUAUUACUUGUGCUUUUUGAUAUUAUAUUAUUUGUGUGUAUUAGUGUGGUAUAAAUAUAUGAAAAUUAUUUGUAGUGACGAAAACAAUCCGAAAGUCAUUCAUGUCGAUACUAUGUUAUGAAAUAUAUGCUCUAUUUUGUCUCCACAUGCAGUACAAAUUUAUGGAUGAAGCAUAAGGUAUUAACUUAAUCCAUAUCUUCUUAAGUUCAUAUUAUUGUUAUUAGCGUAUAAUAAUUUAAUUUUUGUUCUAAUUAUAGGAGUUUAACAAUAAAACACCAUACUCAAAAAAAGAUAUGGAUGACAUCCGAUCACAUUGGGUCAGAGUCUUUUUAUCUUCUUAUGAUUCUCUAGAACAAUAGUUUUUUCUUGGUUGUAAAUGUGUAAAUUUGCUUAAUUUAUUUUUUGCAAAUAUGUAAAUGCGUGUAUUUCAUCUUGAUGAUCAGAACAAUGUAAAUUUCUAACGUUGGUUUAAAUGAUAUGAUAUAUUCCAAUUAUGUCGCAUAUUUUCUAAUUUUUGUUUAAAAAAUGAUACUGGCAGGUGUAACUAAGAUUUAAAACAAUUUAAAUCUGAUAUUCAUUGGUUAAUAGAUUUAUAAUAAUAUGAUAUAGGCUAGUGAAAAGGAUACAUAAAAAAUGAUACAUAUCAGUGAAAAUGAUACAAACAAAAAGUGAGAUUUUAUCCCUCGAUUAUUACUUAAACCGAGGUAAAUGAAUAACUUACUACCUCAUCCUUUAAAUACAACUGAGAGGUAUAUGAUGCGUGCAACAAAAUUGAGAAAAUAAAAAAUAUGUACUUGAUAGGGAUCAAACUCAUGACCUUUUAAUUUCUAACCUCGGUUUUAGAAACACUGAGGUGAGAAGUGAUUGCUUAAUGCCGCUCUUCGUUAUCUCGCUUGUGUAGCCAAUGUUAAAUGAAUUUCGUGACUGAUGUUAGAUGUAUUAUUUGUAGUAGUGAGAGUCUUUAAAUCUUCUACAUGUUAAUGUGAAUGAUAUAGAGGUUAGGACAACGGUUUUUUAUAUGGACCCUUAGAAAUCACCUGGACCAGAUGGAUAUCCUGGUGGUUUUUAUGAAAAAUUAUGGGAAGACAUGGGACCGGAUCCUUAUGAUUUUGUGAAAAUAAUAUAGGCUAAUCCAUAUGAGUUUGUUGAGAUUAAUCAAUAACCCAAUAAUAAGUUUGUAACUACAUAAAAUUAUAGCCACAAAAUUUGAAGAUAGAUAGAUAGAUAGAUAGAUAGAUAGAGAGAGAGAGAGAGAGAGAGAGAGAGAGAGAGAGAGAACAAAAACCACAAAUGGUAACGUACUGUAAGACGAAUAGGAUAAAGAUUCCGUUUUCAGAAAUAAUAUUCGUUUCUAAAAAUGAAUGAAGAUGGUGAAGAUUUCACUAUCGUCGUUAUCGUUGUCGUCUCAUUCGCUAGGGCACCCUUGUGUGUUAUGAACGAAAUAAAGUGUCUAUUAUGUUUUUACUAAGUGAAAUGAAUUUCACAACGGUUGCAAGAAAUAACCGUAAUUGUUAUAAUUUCAAUUUUUAAAUUAUAGAAAAUGUUAAUAUCACCCGCUUAUUUUUAUUGAAAAAAUAAAAGAAUAUUGAUAUUGAGAUUCGAAGCUUGUCACCCAAAUUCUAUAAUUACUGUUGAAUUUAGGAACCGUGAUGAAAUAUUUCUUAAUAAAAAAAAUAAUAUACAUAAAAAAUAAGAUAUUACUACGGAGAAAAAAAUAAUCAUGGACAGACAAAUUUGAAAAGUGUGACAAUUAUUCACCUUUCUGACUCUUACAAAUCUCCUUUGUAUGCGUACACCGUCAUACUCACCUAUAUAUAUUGCUUAAUCUUUCAUAUGCUUCUUCAUUCACACUUCACACACUUCCUUUGCUUCUUUCUAUAGUAUUUGUUACCCUCUCUAUUAUGGCUACCUUUAUUAAAUUAUUUGUUACACUCUCUAUUAUUUCACUCUUAACAUCUUCUACCAAUGCACAACUUAUUAAUAACUUCUAUGCUACAACUUGUCCUAGUCUUCAAACAAUUGUUCGUAAUACAAUGAUAAGUGCUAUCAAAACUGAAGCAAGAAUUGGUGCUUCUAUACUUCGUUUGUUCUUCCAUGAUUGCUUUGUGAAUGUGUGAUAAUCUUCAAAAAUCAUUUAUUUAUGCAUUAUUUUUUCUUUAUCUCACAUGUCACGGACUAUAUUUUUCAACAUGUAAGUUUUAUGUUGGUAGGGAUGUGAUGGAUCAAUCUUAUUGGAUGACACUGCGACGUUUACUGGUGAGAAAAGUGCUUGAUACAAUUAAAACCAACGUUGAAGCUUCUUGCAACUUGUGCUGAUAUUCUAGCACUAGCAGCUAGAGAUGGAAUCUUUCUGGUAAGUCACCCAUUUCUUUAUAUUUUAUGUUUUUGGCACAAAAAAAUUAUAGAUGAGUAUAAGUAAAAGUUUAUAAUAUGAUUUAUUUUGUUCCACCUGUUGAUAGAUAGUGGGAGACAUGGUUUGAAAACAAGCUCAUGACAAAAAUGAAAUGAUAGGAUAAAAAUAAACACAUGUUAGAUACUUGAGAAUGACGAGAUAUUGGAAUCUUACUUUAUGAUUUCAAAGCAUUCUUCCACACGUUGUAACAGGAGAGCAUCAAAGCUAGCAAAUACGCUGUAACAGUCUUUGACCGUUAUAGGCAAAAUUUCAGCGUCCAAGAAACAAUGGAUCACAAUCAGGGGAGACCAAAUUUAGCCUAUACUGUUAAACUAAACAGAAGUUGGUGCAAUUGUGGAAAAUUUCAAGCCUUCCGCAUUCCUUGCUCCCAUGUCAUUGCAGCAUGUGCUUAUACUCGUCAAGACGCUUACUGCCAUUUAUCUGAUGUGUACAAGACCGUCACCAUCAUGAAUGUAUAUAAUCAAAGCUUCUCGGUACUACCAAUAGAGGAAUACUGACCUCCAUAUGAAGGUGAUAUAGUUUGGAACAACGACGAGAUGCGUAGAAAGAAAAAGUGAAGGCCAAACAGGACACGUAUCAGGACAGAAAUGGAUUCCACAAAUAAAAUGAUAAGAUUAUGUAGUAUCUAUCGUCAACCAGGACAGAACAAGAACAACUGUCUCAAUCGAGGAGCAUCAUUUGGGUCUUAAACUUUUUGUAACAUUGUAUAUCUGUAACCUUCAAUCAUUAUAUAUCAUUAAGUUUUUGUUACAACGAGGUUCACAACAAACAUCAAUACAAAAUAAGCUAUCUGAAAACAGAAAUAUUUGUAACUGAUUACAACAAUCAAAUUGAUGUCAUCUCGAUCGAACAUCAUUUCCCUAGCAUCCUUAUCAGUCUUCAUUCGCACCCAACCAAAGAUACUGUCGAGUCUCUCAAUACUUCUAAUUUUUUCCCCUUCUGUUAUUUUCCCAUCUAACCAACGAACCAACUCUCUCUUAAGUUGAUCGAACAUAGUGAUGUUCCAGAACAGCAUCAGGAUCUGAGCACUACGCCAAAAAUGACUUUUAACAGCGCAUCUUAGACAACGCUUUUAAAAGAAAGCGCUGUCUAAGGUUAAAAUUAAAAUAAAAUACGGAAAAUGUUCCAAAAAAAUAAUGAAAGCGCUGUCUAAGGGGGGGUCUUAGACAGCGCUUUCUAAAAGCGCUGUCUAAGACCCCCCCUUAGACAACGCUUUUAGAAAGCGCUUUUAAAUAUAGACCUUAGUCAGCGCUUUUGAUAAAGCGCUGUCUAAAGUCUUUAAAUUAAAAAAAAUUAAAACCAAAAGCUAAACAGAAAUUGGUAGGGUUUGUCACGAUGGCGGAAGAACCACAAUACGCCCUAAAAUGCAAAUACGAAGACCAACCCACCGCCACUGACAUUCAACUCGAAGUCGCAAACGCUAAACAGAAAGCCCAAGAAGCCGCCGCUCGGCUCCUCAGUGUCACCGGCGGCGCUCCUCCACUUUCCUUCGAUCCUAAACGUUCCAAGUCCGAUAAUGGUGCUCCUCAAUCUGGCUUCGAUUCUUACAAUUUGAAGCCGCAAUAUUCAGCUGGUUCUUAUGGUGGUUAUAGUAAGAAGAUUGAGAUACCUAAUGGUAGGGUUGGGGUUCUUAUUGUAUGCAGGAGGUGAGACUAUUAAGUAUCUUCAGUUGCAGUCUGGGGCUAAGAUUCAGGUUACUCGUGAUAUGGAUGCGGAUCCUAAUUCUACUACGAGGAUGGUUGAGCUUAUGGGUACUUCUGAUGCUGUAGGCUUCGCUGAGAAACUUCAUCAUGAAUCUUGCUGAGGUUUGUUUUAAAUUUUCUCUAAUUAUGUUGUGAAUCACUGUAACUUUGGCUGUUAGUGAAAUAUCACUGGUUAGAGUUGUUUUCAACUGAUUUUGUAAUGCAAUGUGAAAUGUUUAAUGAUAAAUUUGCUUAAAUAUUAUGGAAUUAGUGGCGCUCUGUAUCCUGCCAGGGAAAUUCACUGAAAAGAGUGGUUUGAAUUGACUUUCUUUGUAAUAUGGGUGUUUUCUGGUUAAUUUGCUCUAGUGAGGUUUGAAUGACUGCAACUGUAACCGCUAGUGAAAUUUGCUGACAGUAUUUGUUUUGAACUGAUUUUGUAACUUUAGUAUGAUUGUUUUGUGCUGAAUUUGUAAAAUGAUCUUCAAAGUCGAAUGGCCUUAACUGUAACCUUUAGUGAAGCGUCAUUGACGAUGGUUUUCUACUGAUUUUUAACUGUAAUAAUCUGGGGGAAAUGUAACCAUUAACAUCACUGAUAAGAGUUGCUCUUUACUAGGCCUGAAGCCGGGGCUUCUGCGGUGGUGGUACUAGACGGAUGGCUGCACAAUCUGGGGGGUGAUGAAUUUUCGAUGCAAAUCCCAAACAAUAAGGUGUGCAAAGUUGCCCGAAUAUGUACACCCAUGUACUUUCUACAGUGUUUGUUUAUAGUUGAUUUGGUUUCUUAGUCGCGCUUAUAAUUGGUAAAGGAGGAGAAACAAAAGAGUAUGCAAGCUUCUACUGGAGCACGGAUUCAGUUAUCUCUUGUUCUUUGUUUUCUCUGCUCUUUUGUUAUAUAUUUUCAAAAUCAUAAUUUAUGUUUGAAGUUGGAUGGUGUUAAGGUUAACAGUGACGCCCAACUCUCAUGUCUCAAGACUUGGAUUUUCCAUUGUUAGUUACUUUUGACAACUAAUGCCUAUAAUUGAACAAUUACUUUUAAUGUUAAACACCAAUUGCGAAUGGAAGAAUCGAUUUGGAUCCAACUCCAUCCGGCUCAGAAUUCCCGGUGCCGGUGGAUUUUCAGAGAAUCGCAGGUAUUAUGCUUCUUCUCCCUGUUGUGUCACUUCGUAGUAUCUUCUUCUCAACUGUGAUUGCGAUUCUUCUUCUUCUUCAACUCUUCUGAACUGUGUUAUGGAAUUGCAGAGUCUAUCACUGCGGUGGUUUACGUGGCGAAGUGGUCACGCGAGGGAAGUGAAGUGAGCUCUCAGAGAUGAACUGUGAAGAAUAGCUCUAAUCUUUGAGCAAAAAGCAACCGAUUCUGAUAUGAGGUAGAGAGCUUGAGAGUGAAGAGUGAAGAUUGAAUGAGGAAUGAAAAAACUAAGAAAAGCUUCUGAUUGCACUGUUAUACAUGGAUUCUCAACCAAUCGGGCAACGGAUCGGGCAGGUUAGUUAUGUUAGGGCAGUUGUUAGGAUUUUGUUAAAACUCUGUUAGUUGCAAGUUAAUUUUAUAUGUGAAUUGAUUUUCUUAUUUUAUUUCCAUCAGUUAAAAUAGUUGUAUGCUCAUGGGGGAUAAGUCAAAAUUGGACCUUAGCUUGCAGUUCAGCUGGAUUUGCACGUUACUCUAUGAAGGUUGUUGUGGUUGGAAGUUCUGCUGUAAAAUGUUAGUUUGUUUUGUAGUUACAAGUCUGUCAAAUCAAUUAAAAUUAGUUAGGUAAGUUAGAGAACUAGUUGUCCAUGGUUAUAUGAAAUUAGAAAAAAAACUUAACUUUAUUCAAAGUCCGCUGUUAGUUAUUUCCAUUUUGACUCUGUUAGUUUUAUUUAUAAUCGAUUGCUUGAAUAUGUUACUACAAAGGUUAGAUUGAUGUAGUAAUCGUGUUAGCAAGUUGAUGGUGAGAAUCUGUCAUGGCCUAUUAGUAUAGAAACAUUAUUAGUGAAGGCAAGACCAUGACCAAACACUUGCCUGAUUAUUUGAUGUAGAACUUACUUGCUGAAACUUUCCGCUAUGCUAAGAUUGUCUGGUGGCAUGACUUGUCAUGGGCAUGAGCGCGGGAGCUGUUACCGCAGCAAGUUGUAUCAGUUAAGUUGUUAUGACUAAUUUUGGAAUCUGCAACGGACUCGUUUUAGACAAGCACUAGCUAGUGUGUUUUGAGUUGCCUCACUUGCCAACAACUUAAUAAUUGUAAUGGAUUUGAAGUUAAUUAAAAUUUUGCCACCGAUACUUUAGUAAAUCGAUUAAAAUGUCGUUACGAUGGUUAUAACAUACUGCUAUGUUGUUAAAAGCUGUUUGAAUGGUUUGAAUUGUGAGUUGUUAGAAACCAUGUAAUAACUUGAAGUAGGUUAGUGACGGUAUUACAUGAUUAUGUUAGAUCAAGUUAUAGGUUAAUUUAACUACAACAUUCGUUCUGUUGUGAUAUUAUGCAGGAUGUACUACCUGUUGGUUUCGAACUGAUUUCAGAAUUUGCAUCUGUACCGAAUUGGGUGGGGCUGCCACGGUUAUUUUGCACUUUUGGUAAUUUUUAUUAGCGAGUUUCAAUGAUGUCUAUGUGUAAUUAUUAGAUUAAAUUAAGGGUUAUACUUAUUUUCUGUGGAAUGCUAACUGUGGCGUUGUUAUGUAUGUUCUAAAACUUUUGAUUUGUGCCGUUUUCUGACUUGUGGAAAUUCAUGGAUGAAUAUAUGACAAUUCUGCUUCAUGAAUGAAUAAGAAUUUCUUCUGUGAACUGGAAUUUUUAAUGAUGUGAAUCUUUUAAAAAUUGGAAUGGAUGAAGAAAAUUGCUUUUGUGAAACUGGAAUUUCGUUUAUAUAUCCUUCAAAUACUGUUACAAUGCUCAUGAAUUAAUGCUAAACUAUAUGAAAUCAAUGGUUAGUAAACAUCAAAUGUUAGUUCAAUUUGGACUGAGUGGAUGUAACUUAAUUUGGCUUUGUUUUGUUAUAUUGGUUAGUUUUGUGAAUUAUGAAUAUAAGUGUAUCGGGACUUGUAUAAGUGGUAUGUUGUUAUGACAAUUGGUCUAUUCGUUUCUGGUAUGAAUAAGAACUUCUGUUAUAGUUUCAGGGUGGUAUGAACUUUUGUCCUGGCUUUUCUGUUAGUUGCAAUUCCGAAAGUGGUUUUAAAACGUAUGAAACGUGCAGGUGAUAUUCAUUCUGACCUGUUUAUUACACACUUAUGCAUGCUAUGCUUGGAUUACGAAAAGCCCCAUCUGUUGAAGGGGGCAACAGUAGUAUAUAGCAAAAAUAAAGAUACGAAAUUUGUUUUUUAUACCCGUUUAAUACCGGGUUACAUUUCAUUCUAAAUUCAUCUAUUAUAAUUUUCCAAGUUACCAUCUAACUUUGCCUAAUCAUUACAGUGGACAUUGGUUGUUGCUCGCAAUCAAUCCUAUCCGAGAAAUUGGUAUUAUCUUGACUCGAGAAAUGAUUGACAACAUACCGAUAUGAAGGUCCUAAUUGACCGUAAACGUGGAAUGUCAAAUUUAUUUCUUAGUUUUUGAAUUUUCUAAUUGCUUCAUUUUUUAUUUUAUAGCGUCCUAGCAACUUUUCGGACGCCAACGAAGUACCAAACCUCAGGAGGGGCGCGCAACUCCAUUACGUGGAUUCAAAGUGGGGUAUAUUUUGUUAAUUACCAGGACAUUUUUUAUUAUAUUACUGAUGACACUUGAAUAACUCGGAAUUUAUAAUCCAUAUUUUUUUUUCAUAUAUAGUGUCUCAACAACAGAACAAAUAAUUGCGGGUAUUUCAUGAUAUGAGGUUUAUGCGAGAUACUCUUGUUUGGCCGAUUAAAGAUUCCCCGUGUAUGUAUUUUAACUAUGAUUGGUUUUAUAAUUUUCAGCAUAUUCUAUAAUUAAUAGUUGGAAUUAAUUCAAAAUAUGUUAUAUUAUUAUAGUAUAUUUGAUGAAUUCAAGUGUGCCAUUUUAUAAAGGAUCAAGUGGAGAGAGUCAGAAACGGAGGUGGUGUCAAUUCAUGAUAAAGCUCAUGUUUUUCAUUAAAUUCUGUAAUUAAGUGUACAUUUGUAGUAUACCUUGUAUGAUUUAAAUGUGUAAAAUUUGUGUAUAUUUUGAUAACAUUUAAGGCAAUGAGUUGAAUUGGUAUAUAUAAUAUAUUUGUUACCAAAAUUGGUAGAAAAGGCCAAUGGGAAUAUCAAAAUGUGAUAAUUGUCUGUCAAAUCUGUGAACAGGUAAGAAAUUCUGUAUAAACCUGGAAAAAGUGGUUAAAACACAACAGUCUCAAACUUUUAGUUAUACCUUAGACUAGCGUUUGUAAAAAGCGCUGUCUAAGGGGGGGGGGGGGCGUUAGACAGCUAUUGGUUGAAAAAGCGCUUGUCUAAGGUAUACUAAAAAAUAUAAAAUAGGAGGUUAGAAAGCGCUGUCUGCUCAAGAGCGCUGUCUAAGGGGUGGGCUUAGACAGGCGCUUUCUAGAGAGGCUGUCUAAGAGUAUACCUAAAAAAUUAAAAUAAGAGGGUUUAUAGCGGUUUUGGCACAGCGCGUCUUAAGGGGGGGGGGGCUUAGACAGCGCUUUUUAAGAUUUAAAAAAGCGCUGUCUAAACCUUUAGCAGCGGAGGUUUAGACAGCGCUUUAAAGCGCUGUCUAAGGCUAAAAAAAGCGCUGUCUAAGGUCUUGUUUGUUGUAGUGGAGGUUUGUCUCUCGCAUAAAUCACCUUUCCGUAUCGGCGACGGAUACCAAACAUGAUUGCCAAAUUAUUAAUUGAGAUGUGGAACAAUGACUCACAUAACGCAUCUAUUUAUAACAAAAAAAAUGCAUUUUACACUGAGGCGUCAAUCCAAUUGACACCUCCUAUCAACUUAUACAAAAGGGGUCAAUCUAAUUGACGCCUGCAUUCAAUUUUUUAGAGGAGUCGCCAAUUGAAUUGGCGUCUCCUCCUAAAAGUGGGGUAGUUUAAGAUUUUUUUUGAAAUUAAGGGUAUUUUGGGAAUUUUCUUGAAAAAAUGGAUUAUUUUUGUAAAAAUUUCAAUAUAUACAUCUUGAUUAUAAAGAAAAAAGAGAAAUAAUAGAGAGUGUAACAAAUAAUUUAGUUUAGUAAAUGUAGCCAUAUAAUGUUGAAGCUAUGGAAUGAAGAAGCAAUGUGUAUUUAAAGGAAUAGUAGGCCAGUGUGUGACAUUGCAUGCAUGUGCGAUCGAAUAUAUAAUAAUUUGUCCAUCUUUUCAAAUUUUUCUGCUCAAACGCGCUUUAGUUUAUACUUAUUUAAAUUUUGGUAGUAAUGAUUUGUGGGUUAAAAAGGAAUAUGAUAGAAACAGUAUUGAAAAUUAUUGGCUAAGUUUUCUCAUUUUUAUAGCAUAUGUUUCAGGAAGUUUGAAUGAAGAAAUUGACAUAAUCUUAAGAUGAGGUAAAAUUGUUUUGCUUGUAUCUUGUGUUGCAAAGCAAGUAUUGAAAAUUAUUGGCUAAGUUUUCUCAUUUUUAUAGCAUAUGUUUCAGGAAGUUUGAAUGAAGAAAUUGACAUAAUCUUAAGAUGAGGUAAAAUUGUUUUGCUUGUAUCUUGUGUUGCAAAGCAACUUCAUUUAUAAUAUAUUUAAAUUAUUUUUUAGGUUGAUCAUGGUGACUAUUAUGUAGUAGUUUAUACAUUAAAAUGCAAUCUAUGUUGGAUGUGCUGUGUUUCUACCGUGGUCUUACAUACUCCAAUGACGUAAGCCUUGAAAUUUACACAGGCCUAUAAAUAAAUGUUCAGGUUUGUAUGCUUUUAUUGCAAAGUUUUAAAUGAGAAAAUAGGUUAAAUAACCCUAUUUUGAAUGAAAAGUGGGGUAAACAUUUUUAAAUGAAAAAAUAGGUUAAAAUAGUCUUACUGAAAAUGAAAAUGCAUUCAUCUUUUUACCAUAAUCUUUUUAUCGAAAGUGUUAAAAGGGAUGCAUGGUUUCAGACUCCAGAUUUUUAUCCUGAAAUUUCUCCAAACACUACAACAAAUAAUAUUUUUUAUGAUAAAAUUAACACUCCGAACAAUAAAAGAAUGAGGAUAUAAGUACUGAGGUUUCAUAUAUUUUUUUUAAAAUAGAUAACUAUUUAUCUCGGUUUUUAAGAAAAGCGAGAAAAUAGAGCUAUAAGGGAGCUCGUUUCGACACCUAGUUAUUGUAUUUUAUGCUUUUUUUUUCUAAUUGUUUAGUUAAUAUUUCUCACUUGAUGUUUUUCCAAGUUCCAUUUUUAUCAUUGUUAUUUUUUUAUUAGUAUUUACCUUGGCUAUAUGGUCCAACUAAGAGGUAAUAUAUUUUGUAUUAAUCAAUUUCAAAGUAUUAUUUUCAAAAUCUUAUUUUAAUUUUUGAUUUAAUAUGUUUAAACCCAUUAGUUAUACAAAAAAAACGACGCCAUAUAUCUUUAUUGAAUUUCUAAAAUAUGGCAUUAUUGUGUGUUUUAUAGUUUAUAAUUUUAAUUAAUACUGUCACUUUGGGUUUUAUAUAAAAUCGACUUGACACAUAUAUUGUAUGAAAUACUUCAGACUAUAAUUUAGCUAGUUUCUAACUUUGCAUUUACAUAUCAGUGCAAACAUCAUUUCGUCACUCUCACCUCACAAAAAACCUAGGUGAUUUUUAAGCUAAUAUUCAUCAAAUAUCCUCCAACAGAUAUUCAUCAAACAUAAUUUACGUAACAAGUUUGUUCUUGACUGAAACGAGUUAUAUACCACUUUGUUUUUCACUAAUCAUUUAGUCUAGGAAUUUAUGUUAGUUUGUCUUUUGAUCAUUUUUUUUUUCUACGAUUUUCCAUUUGUUUUUAUUGAGACAUUAGUUAGUAUAGUUUCUCUUGAUCAUUUUGAGGUUUAUUUAGAUAGCCAUUUCGUCAACAAAUAUCAUUUUUCGUCAAGUUUGUUAUCCACUUAAACGAGUUAUAUAUCACCAAAAUGAGUUAUAUCUCACUGAAAUGAGUUUAUAUCAUUUUGUUUUUUUACUAUUUGUAUCUUGAUAAUUUUGUUUCUAUGUAUUUGUCUCUUGGUAGUCAUGGUCGAUUUGACAAGCAGGGGAAGCGAGAGAGGAUGACUGAGGAGAAGGUGUCGAGAAGUGUAUCCACGAUGUGUUUGAGGUAUAAGUUGUAGGUUAUUGUUGUUAUUAUUGUUUGCGUAAUUUAAUUUUUGAUUGUAUUUAUGUUGUUUUUAUGAUAUAUAAGUUGAAUUUGUUGGGCCUAUUAAGCUACAGAAAUUCAAAUCAGUUGGAAAUUCGAUAAAAUGAAGUUCAAAAAGUUAUAGGUGGUGCAAGCGCGGAAGAAUCAAACAAAACCAAAGUUUUUAAAAGUGUUUCCUAUUCCCCCUUGAAUACCUUCAAAGGUUUCUCAAAUUCCAAGAAUAUAGUUAAAUGGAUUUUUAUCCUUGGCUUUCUAAGUUUCUCCUAGGAUUAUCACAUUCUCCCUCUGUCUUUCAGACUAUAUUUUAAAGGUUAUGAAGAAGAGAAUCAUAGAAAUACAUAUUUAUAACUAUUGAAACUUAAUUGAUCCUUAACGAAUCCAAAAAAAAUCAUCAAUGUACAUAUAUGAGAACUUAAACAACCAAGUCUCAUACACGCGAACCAUAUAAGCUGAACUAAAUGCUUGAUGGGCAAAAAUUGUCCGGCCAGAUUCAACCUGUCACCGCCAACCACUGCCUGAUUAUAACCCCUGCGAGAGCUCCUCCGCAUACCGACUUUACCUCAAUUGAACAUCUUCCGUCAAACUCUUCGAUUCCUCUAGUGGCAGUUGUCGAGCUCCUUCACGCAAUAAAUUUAGACCAUCAGACCGUUGUCGCUAGCCGCCAUCUACUAAUUUUUGAAAAUGUUAGAAAAAAAAUUUUAAUAAACAAAAUGGAUUAAAAAAAGCAUUAGGGGUGCUCAACCCUUACAAGAGAGAGUCAUGAAGGGAAAUAAUUAGUAACAUAAAAUAGCUCAAAUUUGAUUUUCAUAUAUGCCAAUCGAUCUGAGAAUGCUCCUGAAUCCUAAUAGACCACAACUCUCAAACAAAAAACUUUGAGAACUCAACAAUGACCUAAAUUUUCAACACACCAUCAUGAAAUAAAAUUAUAUUUCUCCUCGUCCGUAAAGACCAUCAAAUAGUUAACUAGAAAAGACAAAAAAAAAACGUAAUGGAAUGGAAUAUUGGAUAUGAUUGCGUUGAAUAUAGUCACACUUCCUCACAACUAUCUUUGUGAUUAUUGCUGAAUGUUUUAAGGCAUGCCUUUUAAUAUUCUUAACAAAACUUUAAAAAAAUUCUUAAAAUGUGCUUUUGCUUUGAGUAAAAACAAUUGUACCACGAAAUACUUUUUUCCACUUUAAACAAGCAUAUCGACCCAACAAGGACUAGUUCCCACAUUUGUUAUAUUUCACAAUCUUCAAUUAUUUGCAACUUUUUCCUUUGUUUUGUUAUUAUUAGACAAGUCAACUAUGUUCUUAUUCAUCUUUAUCUCACAAAUUUUGCCCACCCGUUUCUCCUAAAAGUUUUAAAAAAUUAAAUAAAAAUUAUAAAGCGCGUAUUGAGCAGACAAAUUUGAAAAGUGUGACAAUUAUUCACCUUUCUGACUUUUACGAAUCUCCUCUGUAUGCAUGCACCGUCAUACUCACCUAUAUAUAUUGCUUAAUCUUUCAUUUGCUUCUUCAUUCACACUUCACACACUUCCUUUCCUUCUUUCAAUACUAUUUGUUACACUCUCUAUUAUGGCUACCUUUAUUAAAUUAUUUGUUACACUCUCUAUUAUUUCUCUCUUAGUAUGUUCUACCAAUGCACAACUUACUAAUAACUUCUAUGCUAGAACUUGUCCUAGUCUUCAAACAAUUGUUCGUAAUACAAUGAUCACUGCUAUCAAAACUGAAGCAAGAAUUGGUGCUUCUAUACUUCGCUUGUUCUUCCAUGACUGCUUUGUUAAUGUAUGAUAAUCUUCAAAAAUCAUUUAUUUAUGCACUAUUUGUGCUUUAUCACACAUGUCACGGACUAUAUUUUUUAACAUGUGAGUUUUAUUUGUUUGUUUGUUUAUGAUGGUAGGGAUGUGAUGGAUCAAUCUUAUUGGAUGACACUGCCACGUUUACGGGUGAGAAAAGUGCUGGACCUAACAUAAACUCAGCUAGAGGUUUUGAAGUGAUUGAUACAAUUAAAACCAACGUUGAAGCUUCUUGCAAUGCCACUGUCUCUUGUGCUGAUAUUCUAGCUCUAGCAGCUAGAGAUGGAAUCUUUCUGGUUAGUCACCCAUUUCUUUAUAUUUGUAGAUAAGUAUAUUUUACUAGAAAAAAAUAUGUAUUUUCUGUCAUGUCAUUUGAAGUAACGUGUGUUUUGUUGUUAUAAUAUGAUUUAUUUUGUUCCACCUGUUGAGAAUGCUUUGAAAUCAUAAAGUAAGAUUCCAAUAUCCAGUCAUUCUCAAGUAUCUAACAUGUGUUUAUUUUUAUCCUAUCAUUUCAUUUUUGUCAUGAGCUUGUUUUCAAACCAUGUCUCCCACUAUCUCUUUUACUUUUUCUCACAUAUAAUUUUUACUAUAGCUUGGAGGACCCAGAUGGAUGGUUCCACUUGGAAGAAGAGAUGCAAGAACAGCAAGCCAAAGUGCUGCCAACAGUCAAAUCCCUGGACCAUCAUCUGACCUUGCAACCCUCACCACAAUGUUUAGAAACAAAGGUCUAACAUUAAAUGACCUUACUGUCCUUUCUGGUGCACACACCAUAGGCCAAACUGAGUGUCAAUUUUUCAGAAAUCGCAUAUACAAUGAAACCAACAUUGACAAAAACUUUGCUACCUUAAGAAAAACAAAUUGUCCUUCCUCUGGUGGUGACACCAAUUUGGCACCUCUAGAUUCCGUCACUCCAACUACUUUUGACAACAACUACUAUAAUGACCUUAUUGCUAAUAAAGGACUUCUUCACUCUGAUCAAGCUCUUUUCAAU
rnacentral:lncRNA from 1 species